GAGAGGAAACUGCUGAAGGUCAAUAAGAAGAUGUUGAAGGGCGAUUUGAAGGAGUUCGAGCUCGAGGAGUUGGCCUUGGCUUUACUCGGGCUGAGGUUCCUGGACGUGCCAAAGCCGCAGCUCAUGGUUGGGUGUUCCUAAUGGGAUUACUUGGAAAUGGAUGAGAAUCAGCUCAAGAGGGCUUGUUUCGAGGCGUUUCUUGCGUUUGAGAUCGGGUCGAAGGUUCUUGAUUAAUGAAAUGGAACGUUUGGUUUCGGCCAUGUUGAAUGCAGUUUAACGGUGCAGAUUUGCGGAAGAGGAUUUGGCUUU